GCCUAUAACGAAAUAUAUCAUGGGAUUAACUUGCAGAUGUCAGUGGAGACAAAAAUCCAUUUACUGGUGCCACUUGGUUCAGGCAUAUUUGAGAAGUGUUAUUUGAUACACAGUGAUCUUAUGGUCAGCAAAAGAGUUCAAAGCCUUGCAGAAACUGAAAAUGUCACUGACCAACCAACUAGUGUGGAAAUGACUGAUGUUGUAGAAAGGCAUGUAUGUAAAUGAAAGCCACAAUAUAACAAAUGCUGAGGAGAUGCAUGAGGCCCUAGUUUCUUCAGAUGGAGUGAAGGGGUGCUCUUUUGCUGCCAUUUUUCUACAUCCAGCUUGACAGAUGUCUUCCAAACCUGCGUGGACUGGAGUGUCCAAUUACAACAAUUUGGCUUUCUUGAUUCCUACAACAUGAGAAAAGGUGUCUCUCUUCCUUGAGCAGUUUUAAUAUGAGUGAUACUGAUGUUAAAGUUAAUUUGGCUUUUUCUGAGGCCACUGUGCCAACUGGGUCUAUACCGAGCAAGAUCACAAACAAGGAAAUGUUUUCUUGUCCAGAGAGGUCUUCCCUGAAGUCUUUUGCUACCAAGAGUGUAAUUCACAGGUCCUUUUUUUUUUUUUUUUUUUUUUUUUUUUUUUUUUAGACCACAGUUAUGAAAUGUGCCAAAAAAA